UACGUAGGGUGCAAGCGUUGUCCGGAAUUAUUGGGCGUAAAGAGCUCGUAGGCGGCCUGUCGCGUCGGCUGUGAAAACCCGAGGCUCAACCUCGGGCCUGCAGUCGAUACGGGCAGGCUAGAGUUCGGUAGGGGAGACUGGAAUUCCUGGUGUAGCGGUGAAAUGCGCAGAUAUCAGGAGGAACACCGGUGGCGAAGGCGGGUCUCUGGGGUUAACACUGACGCUCAUGCACGAAAGCGUGGGGAGCAAACAGG
rnacentral:rRNA from 1 species